rnacentral:rRNA from 1 species
CACGUAGGGCGCAAGCGUUGUCCGGAAUUAUUGGGCGUAAAGAGCUCGUAGGCGGUCUGUUACGUCUGCUGUGAAAACCCGGGGCUUAACCCUGGGCUUGCAGUGGAUACGGGCAGACUAGAGGCAGGUAGGGGAGAAUGGAAUUCCCGGUGUAGCGGUGAAAUGCGCAGAUAUCGGGAGGAACACCGGUGGCGAAGGCGGCUCUCUGGGACGGUACUGACGCUGAGACGCGAAAGCGUGGGGAGCGAACAGG